GUGUUUACAAAAUGCAUGUCCAGGCGUCAACCAGGCGUAAACCAGGCGUAAACUAGGCGUAACUGAGGCGUAAACCAGGCGUAAAAAUAAGCGUAAUAUUUAAAUGAGUACGUCUGGUUCACAAAAAAAAAGGCGUAAUAUGCAAAUGAGUACGCCUGGUCAAUAAAUAAACCAGGCGUAAUAUCCUUACAUAAUACUACACUUAUUUUAGUUUAGUGUAUUAACCUAGCUGUGUACUUUUGUGUAUUUGAAACAGUUGCUUUUAUUUUUUAUUGUUGGACAAAAAACUUGAAAUAUUAACCAUUGAAGAAGCUAAUAUAGAAAUAAAUACAUUUUGGACAGACACUGGCUCAAAUAAGUUUAAGUUUAAAUAAGAAUUAUGACAAUUAAAUAUUUUUUGAAAUAAAAGUAGCAUUUUAACUAAGUUGUUUUUGAAAAUUAUUGUCUUUUGAACUAAAAGUAAAAGAUUUUGAUGUUAUUAUCCAUGGAAAAAGGUUUUGGGAUUUCAAAAUUUCUGAUAGAACAUAAUACUUAAUAACUUAGUUAUACUCGCAUUAUUAUUAUUUACCAUGUAUUACUACUUUCCUUUUAUUUCACAAUUUUCAUUCAUUCAUUUGAUUCAGUAUUUCCAAUUUCAAAUUCUUCCCAAAAUCACAAAACAAGUUAAUUAUCCCUGAAUAUAUGAAGCUGCCAUAAUUCCAACUCUUGCAAACUCAAACCAAAGAGCCAAAUUUUGAUAUUAAAUCCCAUGAUCCUUUAAACAAAGCAUUAUGGGUAUUUCUAUUUACGCCAUACCAACAGUUUUACGCCCGUAAGAAAAUUUACGCCUUACUUAUUUCAAUUUACGCCAGGUUUACUGCUUUUUUC
rnacentral:lncRNA from 1 species